rnacentral:rRNA from 1 species
CCUACGGGAGGCAGCAGUGGGGAAUUUUGGACAAUGGGCGCAAGCCUGAUCCAGCUAUUCCGCGUGUGGGAAGACGGCCUUCGGGUUGUAAACCACUGUUGUAGAGAACGAAAAGUCUAUUUAUAAUACCGUUAGACGAUGACGGUACUCUAAGAAUAAGCACCGGCUAACUACGUGCCAGCAGCCGCGGUAAUACGUAGGGUGCGAGCGUUAAUCGGAAUUACUGGGCGUAAAGGGUGUGCAGGUGGUUUUGGAAGUUUGAGGUGAAAUCCCCGGGCUUAACCUGGGAAAGCCAUACAUGACUACAAGACUAGAGUGUGUCAGAGGGGAGUGGAAUUCCAAGUGUAGCAGUGAAAUGCGUAGAUAUAUGGAAGAACACCGAUGGCGAAGGCAGCCCACUGGGACGAAACUGACGCUCAUAGACGAAAGCGUGGGGAGCAAACAGGAUUAGAUACCCCAGUAGUC